rnacentral:sRNA from 1 species
AUCUAGCCCCGAUAGAAGUGGAAAUCCUUUUGUACCGAGGUUCGGUACAAAAGAUUGCAGCGGAUAGCGGGACUAAAC